GCCCGGGUGGCGAAAUAGGUAGACGCAUGGGACUUAAAAUCCCUUGGAGCUUGGCUCCGUGCCGGUUCGAGUCCGGCCCCGGGCACCA
rnacentral:tRNA from 1 species